rnacentral:rRNA from 1 species
UACGGGGGGAGCAAGCGUUGUUCGGAUUUACUGGGCGUAAAGGGCGCGUAGGCGGCCAGCACAAGUCAGUUGUGAAAUCUCCGAGCUUAACUCGGAAAGGUCAACUGAUACUGUGCGGCUAGAGUGCAGAAGGGGCAACUGGAAUUCUCGGUGUAGCGGUGAAAUGCGUAGAUAUCGAGAGGAACACCAGUGGCGAAGGCGGCUUUCUGGGCAUUUCCUGACGCUGAGACGCGAAAGCGUGGGGAGCGAACCGG